rnacentral:rRNA from 1 species
UGGGGAAUAUUGCACAAUGGGCGCAAGCCUGAUGCAGCAACGCCGCGUGAACGAUGAAGGUCUUCGGAUCGUAAAGUUCUGUUGCAGGGGAAGAUAAUGACGGUACCCUGUGAGGAAGCCCCGGCUAACUACGUGCCAGCAGCCGCGGUAAUACGUAGGGGGCUAGCGUUAUCCGGAUUUACUGGGCGUAAAGGGUGCGUAGGUGGUCCUUCAAGUCGGUGGUUAAAGGCUACGGCUCAACCGUAGUAAGCCGCCGAAACUGGAGGACUUGAGUGCAGGAGAGGAAAGUGGAAUUCCCAGUGUAGCGGUCAAAUGCGUAGAUAUUGGGAGGAACUCCAGUAGCGAAGACGGCUUUCUGGACUGCAACUGACACUGAGGCACGAAAGCGUGGGUAGCAAACUGG